AUACGUAGGUGACAAGCGUUAUCCGGAUUUACUGGGCGUAAAGGGCGUGUAGGCGGUCUUGCAAGUCAGAAGUGAAAUUCCUGAGCUCAACUCGGGCGCUGCUUCUGAAACUGCAGGACUUGAGUGCUGGAGGGGAUAGCGGAAUUCCUAGUGGAGCGGUAAAAUGCGCAGAUAUUAGGAAGAACACCGGUGGCGAAGGCGGCUAUCUGGACAGUAACUGACGCUGAGGCGCGAAAGCGUGGGGAGCAAACAGGAUUAGAUACCCUGGUAGUCCACGCUGUAAACGAUGAAUACUAGGUGUAGGGGGUAUCGACUCCCUCUGUGCCGCAGUUAACGCAUUAAGUAAUCCACCUGGGGAGUACGGCCGCAAGGUUAAAACUCAAAGGAAUUGACGGGG
rnacentral:rRNA from 1 species